AUCCAGUUGAUGAUUCCCAAAUAAAAAGAAAUGAGCGUCCUGGAU
rnacentral:hammerhead_ribozyme from 1 species